ACAUCAGUUAGGGUGCGGAGUGUGACC
rnacentral:sRNA from 1 species